rnacentral:rRNA from 1 species
UUAGAACGCUGGCGGCGUGCCUAACACAUGCAAGUCGAGCGGUAACAGUGUAGCAAUACAUGCUGACGAGCGGCGAACGGGUGAGUAAUGCUUUGGAACCUUCCCAGUAGUGGGAAUAACCAGUCGAAAGAUUGGCUAAUACCGCAUACGUCUGUAAAGGGAAAGCGGGGACUCGCCUCUUCUUCGGAAGAGAGGCCUCGCGCUAUUGGAUGAGCCAAAGUCGGAUUAGCUAGUUGGUGGGGUAAUGGCCUACCAAGGCGACAAUCCGUAGCUGGUCUGAGAGGACGACCAGCCACACCGGAACUGAGACACGGU